GGCAGGCAGGCUGGGAGGUGGGGACUACCGACUUGGGGAGCCAAUUGCAAGCCGCAGCCGUCGCCUCCCCACCCCCACUCCACUCGCCUUCUCUCCGUAGCCGAGGGGGGCGAUCGCAAGUGGGGGCCGCCGCUUUCUGGGGUGUCGCCUGCGGAGGGUCGGGCAAGCGCCAGGCGGCUCGUCGCGAGCAACGUGGAGAUCUCGUGCGGCGGCGACCCCAGUCGCGUCGGCGAAAGCGCAGGGUCCUCUUCGCACUGCUUCGGCUGCCCGCAAAAGGGACAUCAUGCCGAAGAGAAAGUCUCCAGAGGGUGCUGAAGGCAAGGAAGCUGCAAAACUAACGAAGCAAGAGCCAACAAGGCGAUCUGCAAGAUUGUCAGCUAAACCAGCUCCGCCAAAACCUGAGCCCAAGCCAAGGAAAACCACUAAGAAGGAACCUGGAACAAAGACUAACAAAGGUGCUAAGGGGAAGAAGGAUGAAAAACAAGAAACUGCAAAGGAAGGUACUACACCAUCUGAAAAUGGUGAAAAUAAAGCUGAAGAGAUUCGCAUCUCUCGCUCCACUGUUAGUGUUUCAACAUCCAGAGGUGCUAUUUUAUCAGUAAGGAAGGGUGAGAUUAGAACAAGUGAAAGUUAAAGGGUGGGCCGAGCAUUCUUAGCACUUGUACAGUGAAUAGAAAAUGGUAGUAAAUUGGUGCUGUUGUGGUGAACAAUGGAAGCUGGCAGGCACAGAGAACUGAACCUGUAGAAGACAAGUGCGUGUGAACGGACAUGAACAUUUGAGGAUGAUUUUAUGCACCUCUUGGACAACUUUUAAAAGAUAUUUUUAUCAAGUAUUUUGUAAAUGCUAAUUUUUUAGGACUUAUGAUAAGUUGACAAACUGUAUAUGAACAUUUUCCCUUCCACACGUGUGCUUUUAGAAAUUCCCAAUGUUGCCAAGGGUUUUUUUUUAAGUAUCAACUUACUAUUGGAAAAAGGUGUUUAUAAGAUUGGACAACCAUUCCAUAUAUUUGCUUUCCAGAAAUGUAUGUCUAGUGCAUAUGGUGACGUUUUUACUGUGAGUGUUUGGAUUUUUCUUGCAGUUUUUCUAGAGCAAUAAUCUGUGGUGCUUUUGUACUUAAGGUUUCUGCGAUUUUAAUGAAACAUGUAUAGAUAUGGCCGCCUGAUGACUAUGUUCUGUUCUUUGCCAUUGGUUUAAAACAAAAAAAUCUCCUUGCCAGCAGAUAUAAUUUCCCUAUAUUUUCUAUCAAUUUGAGAAAUGCCUUAUAAAUACUUUGCUCUUGUUAGAAAGAUACUAAGCACACUUAUUUAAAAGUUGGUUUCAGUGAUCUUAGGAUCAUUGUUAAAGGUCAUGGAAAGUCAGAAUUACACCUUAAUACAUGUACUUGGUAAUAAGAUCCAUUGUUUAGAAUCAGUGUACCAGAGGACAUAAAUGCUAAUAUUCCAACAAAGUGGUAUGUAGGCAAAUGGCAAAAUGGUUUGUGCUCAUUGCGAAGCAUUUGUGACACAUCCAAGUGUUUACGUCAGUCUCCUAUACCAUGGCUUGCCAGGUACCAUAGGAGUCCUAAACUAAAGCCUCAGAACCCAUCAGGCUGGGGCAAGUCAAGCAAAAUAGGAAGUUUCAUGAGCCCCUGGUAGACUACAUGUGACUCAUGGGCUGCAUGAACUUGAUGAGCCAUUCUCUGUGAAAGGCCUGGCAUAGAAAUAUACCAUACCAAUGGACUUUUUCUGUAUUCUUCUUCAAUAUAUCAACUUAAAUUGUCUUUAUAGUAUUGUAAAAGCACAAUUCAAAUUGAUCUAUACCUUGAUUGAGAGAUACAGAGGAACAGCUUUGAUUUCAUUCCUCCAUAUUUUAAACUACCGUAUCCUUUCUUUUUUUAUUUUAUCAGAGAUGAUUUUUAUGUAAACAUCUAAGUCUACAGAAUCAGUCCUUUGCUUCAAUUCUUCAUCUAGAUUUGGUAAUUUCUCUUCUCCUUUAUCGAACAAUUGGUGAUUAAUGUAUCAAAGCUACAUUUUUUAAAAGCACUGUGUGUGGUACCUAGUAGAGAUAAUGUAGGUGAAAUAUAUUUUAAGAAACUGAUGGUUGUGCUGCUGGUGUUCAAUUAGAUAAAUAAUUUUAAUGCCUAUGUUAACACUACUCCAGCCCAUUAUAAGCAUCUAGUGAUUUCCCACCUGUUUUUCUCAUUUUUUGCCUGGGACUUACAUAUUUUUGCUGGAGGGAGGGGGGGAAGAUAAAGGAACCUAUUUUAUGUCCUUUGGUAACAUUUAUUUUUAUUGCUAAACUGGUGGCCCUAAUGUUUGGGGAUAUAUGCAUGUUUCAGUCAAUAAAUGAAGUAAUUAUCACUCAA